GGUGUGUGCGUGCUUCAUGGCCUUAUUCAAUUAAGCAUUCUAUUCUUAAUUUACUGCUAAAUCCUCCUUUAGUUUUUAGGUUUCAUAAAAACUUUCGUGUAAGUUUAAGGGGUAUUCUUAUUAUAGAAAAUGUAGCCCAUUUCUUCCCAAUCCAUAGGUUACACCUUGACCUAACGUUUUUACGUGCAGUAGUUGUGCUUACUUUCGUUCCUUUUUUAGGGUUUGCUGAAGAUGGCGGUAUAUAGACUGAAGUAGCAAGGAUUGGUGAGGUUAAUCGUGGUUUAUCGUUUACAGAACAGGCUCCUCUAGAAGGAUAUGGAGCACCGCCAAGUCCUUUGAGUUUUGGGCUGUUGCCGAUAGUACUCUGGCGAAUAAUCUUGUUUUAGGAUUAUUUAAGUUUACGACUAAGCAUAGUGGGGUAUCUA
rnacentral:rRNA from 1 species